rnacentral:rRNA from 1 species
UGAUCAGCCAUGCCGCGUGAGUGAUGAAGGCCUUAGGGUCGUAAAGCUCUUUCGCCAGGGAUGAUAAUGACAGUACCUGGUAAAGAAACCCCGGCUAACUCCGUGCCAGCAGCCGCGGUAAUACGGAGGGGGUUAGCGUUGUUCGGAAUUACUGGGCGUAAAGCGCACGUAGGCGGAUUAGAAAGUUGGGGGUGAAAUCCCGGGGCUCAACCCCGGAACUGCCUCCAAAACUCCUGGUCUAGAGUUCGAGAGAGGUGAGUGGAAUUCCGAGUGUAGAGGUGAAAUUCGUAUAUAUUCGGAGGAACACCAGUGGCGAAGGCGGCUCACUGGCUCGAUACUGACGCUGAGGUGCGAAAGUGUGGGGAGCAAACAGGAUUAGAUACCCUGGUAGUCCACACCGUAAACGAUGAAUGCCAGACGUCGGGCAGUAUACUGUUCGGUGUCACACCUAACGGAUUAAGCAUUCCGCCUGGGGAGUACGGUCGCAAGAUUAAAACUCAAAGAAAUUUGACGG